UACGUAGACCUCGAGCGUUAUCCGGAUUUAUUGGGCGUAAAGCGUGUGUAGGGGGACGUGUAAGUCAGAGGUAAAAUCCGAGCGCCUAACGUUCGGUCCGCCUCCGAUACUGCACGACUUGAGGAUGCUAGAGGUAAGUGGAACGCACGGUGUAGGGGUGAUAUCCGUUGAUAUCGUGCGGAACGCCAAAGGCGAAGGCAGCUUACUGGGGCACUCCUGACCCUGAGACACGAAAGCGUGGGGAGCAAAA
rnacentral:rRNA from 1 species